UCCAGACUCCUACGGGAGGCAGCAGUGGGGAAUAUUGGGCAAUGGGCGAAAGCCUGACCCAGCAACGCCGCGUGAAGGAAGAAGGCUUUCGGGUUGUAAACUUCUUUUGACAGGGAAGAGCAGAAGACGGUACCUGUCGAAUAAGCCACGGCUAACUACGUGCCAGCAGCCGCGGUAAUACGUAGGUGGCAAGCGUUGUCCGGAUUUACUGGGUGUAAAGGGCGUGUAGCCGGGCCGGCAAGUCAGAUGUGAAAUCCCAAGGCUCAACCUUGGAACUGCAUUUGAAACUGUUGGUCUUGAGUAUCGGAGAGGCAGGCGGAAUUCCUAGUGUAGCGGUGAAAUGCGUAGAUAUUAGGAGGAACACCAGUGGCGAAGGCGGCCUGCUGGACGACAACUGACGGUGAGGCGCGAAAGCGCGGGGAGCAAACAGGAUUAGAUACCCCUGUA
rnacentral:rRNA from 1 species